GUUACAUUAUAUUCUCAUGGUAUUGUUCAUUAAAAAAACAGGUGGUAACUUUUGUUUCUAUGUUUAUGUGCUACAGCCUCGGCUCUAUGUUGGCAGGGGAAUGCAUGAAAGUACCUUUUCUCUCUUCAAGUAUACAUUAUUCUGGGUGCUCCUUACCAUUACAAAGUUAGCUUUCAGUUUCUAUAUCGAGGGAUGUUACUUUCAAAAAGGGAGGAAGAUCAAGAUGAAGAUGAGCGCGAAGGAAGCCUUUGAGAGGUCGAUGAGGACUUUGUCGGAGUGGAUAAGCCAGGAAGUGAAUCGAAAUAUGUAAUGAUCUUAGAUACUUGAUAC